rnacentral:rRNA from 1 species
GACGUAGGGUGCAAGCGUUGUCCGGAUUUACUGGGCGUAAAGAGCGCGUAGGCGGUCUUGUAAGUGUGAAGUGAAAUCUCCAGGGCUCAACCCGGAAACUGCUUUGCAUACUGCGAGACUAGAGGGAUGCAGAGGUUUGUGGAAUUCCUGGUGCAGCGGUGAAAUGCGUUGAUAUCAGGAGGAACACCCAUGGCGAAGGCAGCAAACUGGGCAUCAUCUGACGCUGAGGCGCGAAAGCGUGGGUAGCAAACAGG